rnacentral:rRNA from 1 species
CCUACGGGUGGCAGCAGUAGGGAAUCUUGCUCAAUGGGGGAAACCCUGAUGCAGCAACGCCGCGUGGAGGAAGAAGGUUUUCGGAUCGUAAACUCCUUUUGUUAGAGAAGAUAAUGACGGUAUCUAACGAAUAACCACUCGCUAACUCCGUGCCAGCAGCCGCGGUAAUACGAAGGGUGCAAGCGUUACUCGGAAUCACUGGGCGUAAAGAGCGCGUAGGCGGGAUAGCAAGUCUGAUGUGAAAUCCUAUGGCUUAACCAUAGAAGUGCAUUUGAAACUGUUAUACUAGAGUAUGGGAGAGGUAAGUGGAAUUCUAGGUGUAGGGGUAAAAGCCGUAGAGAUAAAGAGGAAUACUCGUGGCGAAGGCGACCUGCUAGAACAUAACUGACGCUGAUGUGCGAAAGCGUGGGGAGCAAACAGGAUUAGAUACCCUAGUAGUC